ACUCCACCUCCAACCUGAAGAAGCAUCUUCAAGAGGAAGAUCAACAAGCUUUGGCUGUCAGAAGGAAAUGCUUUGCACUCUGUGGGAUGUUUUGGAAGCAGAGGAGGAAAUGUGGCCGGCUUCCUCUGUACCAGAUGUGAAUCCAUGUCAUCUGAGGUCAUAUCUGGAGCCUGGCUAGUCCAUCUUCUGUCUGAUUUCUAAUUUAAAUGAACCCAUGUGGGAACCUGGGGUGCUUCUGAUGAUGUAUAUGUCAGAGAACUCUGAAUAAGGAGCAUGUACUAGAACUGUAAUCAGUCCCCUGCUUUUUUUAAAGAGAUCGUGGAAAAUGCAGCAAGCAGAAAAGGAUGUAGUAAAAUGCUAUCACACUACACUGUAGACCAAAUCAUUAUACAACCGUAAUAGGCAGGCAUAGGCAGUAUUCGGAGUUGUCAAGGGAGGCAGUUGCCUGGGAGCAGCAAAGUGCAAUUUUAUUUAUCAUUACGUUUCAAGGCAGUUUGUUUCCUUCCAAUCUCUCAGCCCUUUAGGAUGGAAAAUUAAAUAAUAUCCCUCAAGUAUUGAUGAAACACUGCACUUUGGAAAUGGCCCAAGUACACCAUUGCCCCCCAGAGGGAUGGGCAAUCACUAAGUCAAGAACAGUGAGUGAUGAUGUACAAACAAGGAGCAUUUAGAAAGAAACGGUCAGAUGUACAGUUUAGAAUAAAUGGAGUCAAAGAAGAAACAUAAUUAUUAAGGCAACAGUAUGUUGGUAUUAUUUUUUUCUGUUUACUAGUUAGCACUUAAUGAUUUAGAAGAAUAUACAGGUUUUUCACUGAGAGUUAGCAGAAGUAACCCAUACAUUGCUUGGUGCAUUUCCAAAAUCAAAGGAUCAUGUUAAUAAAAAGUGAUUGGACUUGAAGAAUCAGGGCUGUCAACAGUCACAAAGCAUCGCAGAACACAAUGUAGAUCUAAAACGUAGUGAGAGAACAAGAAAAAAAACAUUGGUGGUAGACUUAUAGUCGGGGCCUUUGUACAGAAUCUUUAUUAUCAAUAACACUACAAGAUUCAAGGCUCCAUUAAAGAAAAAUUUAAAUACAAUAAAAUAAGUCAAUGACAAAUCUAAGAUGCA